GGGNUGCUAUAAUGCAGUCGAGCGGACAGAUGGGAGCUUGCUCCCUGAUGUUAGCGGCGGACGGGUGAGUAACACGUGGGUAACCUGCCUGUAAGACUGGGAUAACUCCGGGAAACCGGGGCUAAUACCGGAUGGUUGUUUGAACCGCAUGGUUCAGACAUAAAAGGUGGCUUCGGCUACCACUUACAGAUGGACCCGCGGCGCAUUAGCUAGUUGGUGAGGUAACGGCUCACCAAGGCGACGAUGCGUAGCCGACCUGAGAGGGUGAUCGGCCACACUGGGACUGAGACACGGCCCAGACUCCUACGGGAGGCAGCAGUAGGGAAUCUUCCGCAAUGGACGAAAGUCUGACGGAGCAACGCCGCGUGAGUGAUGAAGGUUUUCGGAUCGUAAAGCUCUGUUGUUAGGGAAGAACAAGUGCCGUUCAAAUAGGGCGGCACCUUGACGGUACCUAACCAGAAAGCCACGGCUAACUACGUGCCAGCAGCCGCGGUAAUACGUAGGUGGCAAGCGUUGUCCGGAAUUAUUGGGCGUAAAGGGCUCGCAGGCGGUUUCUUAAGUCUGAUGUGAAAGCCCCCGGCUCAACCGGGGAGGGUCAUUGGAAACUGGGGAACUUGAGUGCAGAAGAGGAGAGUGGAAUUCCACGUGUAGCGGUGAAAUGCGUAGAGAUGUGGAGGAACACCAGUGGCGAAGGCGACUCUCUGGUCUGUAACUGACGCUGAGGAGCGAAAGCGUGGGGAGCGAACAGGAUUAGAUACCCUGGUAGUCCACGCCGUAAACGAUGAGUGCUAAGUGUUAGGGGGUUUCCGCCCCUUAGUGCUGCAGCUAACGCAUUAAGCACUCCGCCUGGGGAGUACGGUCGCAAGACUGAAACUCAAAGGAAUUGACGGGGGCCCGCACAAGCGGUGGAGCAUGUGGUUUUAANUUCGAAGCAACGCGAAGAANCNUUACCAGGUCUUGACAUCCUCUGACAAUCCUAGAGAUAGGACGUCCCCUUUCGGGGGCAGANUGACAGNUGNNNCAUGNNNUCGUCAGCUCNUGUCGNGANAUGGUNGNNNNNCCCCGCAACGANCGCAACCCUUGAUUCNUUANUU
rnacentral:rRNA from 1 species